GAUCCUGGCUCAGGAUGAACGCUGGCGGCGUGCUUAACACAUGCAAGUCGAACGCUGAAGCCUGGUGCUUGCACUGGGUGGAUGAGUGGCGAACGGGUGAGUAACACGUGAGUAACCUGCCCUUGACUUCGGGAUAAGCCCGGGAAACUGGGUCUAAUACUGGAUAUGACUCCUUACCGCAUGGUGGGGGGUGGAAAGAUUUAUCGGUUGGGGAUGGACUCGCGGCCUAUCAGUUUGUUGGUGGGGUAA
rnacentral:rRNA from 1 species